rnacentral:rRNA from 1 species
CUUGAACGCUGGCGGCAGGCCUAACACAUGCAAGUCGAACGAGUGGCGGACGGGUGAGUAAUGUCUGGGAAACUGCCUGAUGGAGGGGGAUAACUACUGGAAACGGUCGCUAAUACCGCAUACCAUCCGAUGUUCCCAGAUGGGAUUAGCUAGUUGGUGGGGUAACGGCUCACCAAGGCGACGAGCCCUAGCUGGUCUGAGAGGAUGACCAGCCACACUGGAACUGAGACACGGUCAAGACUCCGACGGUAGGCAGCAGUGGGGAAUAUUGCACAAUGGGCGAAAGCCUGAUGGAGCCAUGCCGCGUGUAUGAAGAAGGCCUUCGGGUUGUAAAGUACUGUCAGCGGGGAGGCGGUACCCGCAGAAGAAGCACCGGCUAACUCCGUGCCAGCCGCCGCGGUAAUAC